rnacentral:rRNA from 1 species
AGUGAACGCUGGCGGUAGGCCUAACACAUGCAAGUCGAACGGCAGCACAGUAAGAGCUUGCUCUUACGGGUGGCGAGUGGCGGACGGGUGAGGAAUACAUCGGAAUCUACUUUUUCGUGGGGGAUAACGUAGGGAAACUUACGCUAAUACCGCAUACGACCUACGGGUGAAAGCAGGGGAUCUUCGGACCUUGCGCGAUUGAAUGAGCCGAUGUCGGAUUAGCUAGUUGGCGGGGUAAAGGCCCACCAAGGCGACGAUCCGUAGCUGGUCUGAGAGGAUGAACAGCCACACUGGAACUGAGACACGGUCCAGACUACUAAGGGAGGCAGAAGUGGGGAAUAUUGGCCAAUGGGCGCAAGCCUGAUCCAGCCAUACCGCGUGGGUGAAGAAGGCCUUCGGGUUGUAAAGCCCUUUUGUUGGGAAAGAAAAGCAGCAGGUUAAUACCCCGCUGUUCUGACGGUACCCAAAGAAUAAGCACCGGCUAACUUCGUG